GAUGAAGAACGUAGCGAAAUGCGAUAAGUAGUGUGAAUUGCAGAAUUCAGUGAAUCAUCGAAUCUUUGAACGCACAUUGCGCCCCUUGGUAUUCCAUGGGGCAUGCCUGUUCGAGCGUCAUUUGUACCUUCAAGCUCUGCUUGGUGUUGGGUGUUUGUCUCGCCUCUGCGUGUAGACUCGCCUCAAAACAAUUGGCAGCCGGCGUAUUGAUUUCGGAGCGCAGUACAUCUCGCGCUUUGCACUCAUAACGACGACGUCCAAAAGUACAUUUUUACACUCUUGCCCUCGGAUCAGGUAGGGAUACCCGCUGAACUUAAGCAUAUCAAUAAGCGGAGGA
rnacentral:misc_RNA from 1 species